GGGCCCGUAGUCUAGCCUGGUUAGGAUGCGGCCCUUACAAGGCUGAGGUCCUGGGUUCAAAUCCCAGCGGGCCCA
rnacentral:tRNA from 2 species